GCCUAGUUAGCUUAGUUGGUAGCGCACGCCUUGUAAGCGCUAGGCCGCGGGUUCGAUUCCUGCCCGGGGCG
rnacentral:tRNA from 1 species